rnacentral:lncRNA from 1 species
GGAAUGGUGGCUCUCUGAUGUUUUGUAUCCUCCUACCAGUCUCCCGCCUCCCUCUCUCAUUAAGUCUGUUCUGGACUGGAUAGAGGGGAGACACAGUGUGGAUUUCUUCCAUCCUGAGAGGCAUGGCAAGGGUUGCUUUUCUGCCAUUUCUGAGGCUGUGAACAGAAACAUGGGUUCAUAUAGAGAAAUGAAUCCAAUCUCUCACAUCAGGCCGUGGUUCUCUAUUGCUUGCAGAAUGAAGUCAAAAGCUCCUACACCCUGUAAGGGGCUGAUUCAGGAUUUGAAUCUGUCUCUGGUUCCAGAUCCCAAGAGUGUCUGUCUUCCCACAGGAUUUUCCCUUCAUGCUACCUCAGUGAUUCCUCAGGCAUCUAUGGCAUAUAUGCUCUCGAAGGACUUGCUCUUAAGAUUGAAACCAGCCUGCACGCGGCAUCUAGAGGAGGCAGGGGGUAGCACAAAGAUGCAUCCAUUUGUGCCGUCUGAGACAAGGUCAGCAGGAGAGGUAUUCUGGGACCCAUAGGAUGCUGGGACGACAGCUCACAGAGAACGGUGGGUGUUUGAGUGUCACACAGGAGCUGGGGGCAGGGAUGGAAGCGAAGCCUCUGUGCCCCAGAUCCUGAAUCUAAGAGCUCUGCAGCCCUGAGGGGAUGGCUGAUGGGACAGACUCUGACUCUGAGGUCAGAAUUCCUGGGUCUGAAUUCUUGCCAUGCAACUUGUCACCUCUUGGAUUUUGACCAAGA